GUUGGUUUACUUUUUGUUGAAACACUUAAAGAUGCUCCAAUUUUUAGGUACACGAAGAAGAUCCGUUUCUGGGUUUGUUUUGUUUAUAUCUUCUGAAGUUUAAAACUUGGAUCUUUUAGUGUUUUUCACACUUUUUAUCUUGUUUCAAGAUUCAAAGGAAAUGUAUGGCAUGUUGUUAAAGAUGUUGUUUUUGGGUUCUUGAGGAAUACUUGGAUUCUUCUGGGGUUUUUUUUUGGUAAUGGUGAAAGAUAAGUAAGGAAAGUGUGUAUUUUUAUCGAAAGAUACAAGUUGUCUAGUGCUGUUUCAGUUUGGUAAAUUGAUUUUCUCUUUUAGUAUUACCAAAAAAAAAGGUCACUCCAAGACAUUCUCAUUUUGUUCAGAGCUCCCAAGAAGAAUAAUGCUUAAAAAAAGUUGAAUUGUUGUGAAGACAAAAGGGUAGAAGAAGCAGAGUACUGGAGCUUGUUUGUUUUCUAUCAUAAAGGGGCAUUUCAGUUUGUAAGAUUUAAGAAAAAUGGCUUCCGGAUGGUAAGUCGGUGUUGGAUAACCAAAAGUAUGUCCGGUAUACACCUGGGCAGGUUGAAGUCCUUGAGAGGUUUUUAGAUGGGUAAGGAAAAC
rnacentral:lncRNA from 1 species